GAACUUGCCUCUUGGUCUGGGACAACUGUUGGAAACGACAGCUAAUACCGGAUAUUAUGAGAUUCUCGCAUGGGAAACUUAUGAAAGCUAUAUGCGCCAAGAGAGAGCCUUGCGUUCCAUUAGCUAGUUGGUGGGGUAACGGCCCACCAAGGCGACGAUGGAUAGCCGGCCUGAGAGGGUGAACGGCCACAAGGGGACUGAGACACGGCCCUUACUCCUACGGGAGGCAGCAGUGGGGAAUAUUGGACAAUGGGCCACAAGCCUGAUCCAGCAAUUCUGUGUGCACGAUGAAGGUCUUCGGAUUGUAAAGUGCUUUCAGUUGGGAAGAAGAAAGUGACGGUACCAACAGAAGAAGCGACGGCUAAAUACGUGCCAGCAGCCGCGGUAAUACGUAUGUCGCAAGCGUUAUCCGGAUUUAUUGGGCGUAAAGCGCGUCUAGGCGGAAAAAUAAGUCUGAUGUUAAAAUGCGGGGCUCAACUCCGUAUUGCGUUGGAAACUGUUUUUCUAGAGUACUGGAGAGGUGGGCGGAACUACAAGUGUAGAGGUGAAAUUCGUAGAUAUUUGUAGGAAUGCCGAUGGAGAAGUCAGCUCACUGGACAGAUACUGACGCUAAAGCGCGAAAGCGUGGGGAGCAAACAGGA
rnacentral:rRNA from 1 species